GGGUUGUGAGGUUAAGCGAAUAAGCGUACACGGUGGAUGCCCUGGCAGUCAGAGGCGAUGAAGGACGUGCUAAUCUGCGAAAAGCGUCGGUAAGCUGAUAUGAGGCGUUAUAACCGACGAUGUCCGAAUGGGGAAACCCAGUGUGAUUCGUCACACUAUCAUUAACUGAAUCCAUAGGUUAAUGAGGCGAACCGGGAGAACUGAAACAUCUAAGUACCCCGAGGAAAAGAAAUCAACCGAGAUUCCCUGAGUAGCGGCGAGCGAACGGGGAAGAGCCCAGAGUCUGAAUCAGCGUGUGUGUUAGUGGAACGGUCUGGAAAGUCCGGCGAUACAGGGUGACAGCCCCGUACACGAAAAUGCACAUGCUGUGAGCUCGAUGAGUAGGGCGGGACACGUGUUAUCCUGUCUGAAUAUGGGGGGACCAUCCUCCAAGGCUAAAUACUCCUGACUGACCGAUAGUGAACCAGUACCGUGAGGGAAAGGCGAAAAGAACCCCGGCGAGGGGAGUGAAACAGAACCUGAAACCGUGUACGUACAAGCAGUGGGAGCACCCUUUGGGGUGUGACUGCGUACCUUUUGUAUAAUGGGUCAGCGACUUAUAUUCUGUAGCAAGGUUAACCGAAUAGGGGAGCCGAAGGGAAACCGAGUCUUAACCGGGCGUUAAGUUGCAGGGUAUAGACCCGAAACCCGGUGAUCUAGCCAUGGGCAGGUUGAAGGUUGGGUAACACUAACUGGAGGACCGAACCGACUAAUGUUGAAAAAUUAGCGGAUGACCUGUGGCUGGGGGUGAAAGGCCAAUCAAACCGGGAGAUAGCUGGUUCUCCCCGAAAGCUAUUUAGGUAGCGCCUCGUGAAUUCAUCUCCGGGGGUAGAGCACUGUUUCGGCUAGGGGGCCAUCCCGGCUUACCAACCCGAUGCAAACUACGAAUACCGGAGAAUGUUAUCACGGGAGACACACGGCGGGUGCUAACGUCCGUCGUGAAGAGGGAAACAACCCAGACCGCCAGCUAAGGUCCCAAAGUCAUGGUUAAGUGGGAAACGAUGUGGGAAGGCCCAGACAGCCAGGAUGUUGGCUUAGAAGCAGCCAUCAUUUAAAGAAAGCGUAAUAGCUCACUGGUCGAGUCGGCCUGCGCGGAAGAUGUAACGGGGCUAAACCAUGCACCGAAGCUGCGGCAGCG
rnacentral:rRNA from 1 species